rnacentral:lncRNA from 1 species
GGGAUAAAAAAAUUGAUGGAUGUUGAAUUAUGCUUCAUUUAUGAUUUAUAACAUUAUAUACUUAUAGUCAUCAAAUAUUAAUGUAUCUAGUGUUUUAAUAAUUCUUUGUUAAUUUUUAAUGUGACACAAUCAUCGUAGGUGAUUUUUUAGACGACGCUAAAGAUCUGUUUGUGAGAGUCGGAAGGUAUGAGGAGAGUUACCGAUCCAGGAAGGAAGAACUUGAGCAGGCAAUACCAAUUAUCUUUCUAUUCCCUCUCUGUAUUUUCUUUUUAGU